rnacentral:tRNA from 1 species
UGCUCCAUAGCUUGGAGGAAAGAAGCGCCCGUCUAGCGAAUUGGGAGUCGUGCGUUCGAUUCCCACCGGAGCAA